GCGAUAAGUAAUGUGAAUUGCAGAAUUCAGUGAAUCAUCGAAUCUUUGAACGCACAUUGCGCCCGCCAGUAUUCUGGCGGGCAUGCCUGUUCGAGCGUCAUUUCAACCAUCAAGCCCCCGGCUUGUGUUGGGGACCUGCGGCUGCCCGCAGGCCCUGAAAAACAGUGGCGGGCUCGCUGUCACACCGAGCGUAGUAGCAUACAUUCUCGCUCAGGGCGUGCUGCGGGUUCCGGCCGUUAAACGACCUUCAUAACCCAAGGUUGACCUCGGAUCAGGUAGGAAGACCCGCUGAACUUAAGC
rnacentral:misc_RNA from 1 species